CCUACGGGUGGCAGCAGUGGGGGAUAUUGCACAAUGGGGGGAACCCUGAUGCAGCGACGCCGCGUGGGCGAUGGAGUGCUUCGGCAUGUAAAGCCCUAUCAGCAGGGAAGAAAAUGACGGUACCUGACUAAGAAGCCCCGGCUAAAUACGUGCCAGCAGCCGCGGUAAUACGUAUGGGGCAAGCGUUAUUCGGAUUUACUGGGUGUAAAGGGUGCGUAGGCGGGCUGUUAAGUCAGCGGUAAAAUCCCGGGGCUCAACCCCGGCGAGCCGUUGAAAAUGGCUGUCUUGAGAUGUCGAGAGGUAUGCGGAAUGCGCAGUGUAGCGGUGAAAUGCUUAGAUAUUGCGCAGAACUCCGAUUGCGAAGGCAGCAUACCGGCGGCGAUCUGACGCUGAGGCACGAAAGCGUGGGUAUCGAACAGGAUUAGAUACCCCUGUAGUC
rnacentral:rRNA from 1 species